CCUGGAUAUAGCAUAGCAAGUAAAAAAUAUCAAUAUUAUACAGGUUAUUUCAAUUCUUACAACUUCAUUAUUUUCUAAACAAUAGUCAUAAGUCACAAUAUAAGGCAAAUUUAUUUCCCAUAUACAUAAUUGAUGUAUUUGUAUAAAUGUGUGCAAUGAUCCUGAAUUGUAUAGAUAAAAACUCAAUUCAUUCAUUAAAAUGACCAGUGUUGUUUGAUUUUAGCAUGGCUACAACCUCAAGUCACAAUGGUAAUAACUCAACUCCAGUGCAGAAUCAUUUCUUUCAUGUGAUCUGGUCAUUCACUCAAAUAUUACCAAUACUAAUAUGUAUGAAUGUUUUGCAUAUCCACUGUUAUGCUGUCACAUGCUCAAACAGUCAUACUUCUUCAGUAAAACACAGGUUCAGUUGCAACCCUGAGUUACAGCCAAAUAUUUUAACCUGGCCAUUGCCUAAUUUAUUAUGAAUGCAUCCAAUAUAACAAAUAGGAGUUUUAUUCCUGAAAAUACCAAAACUGAUUACAGAAAUGAAAUAAAACUAAAUAAAAUACUAAUACUCG
rnacentral:lncRNA from 1 species